GAUGAACGCUGGCGGCGUGCCUAAUACAUGCAAGUCGAGCGGACAGACGAGGCGCUUGCUCGUCUGACGUUAGGGGCGGAGGUGAGAGUAACAUGUGUAUAAUGUACCUAUCAUUCUGGGAAAAUCUCGGGACAGCGGAGCUAAUACGGUAUAAUCUAUUGAACCGUAUUGGGCGUUAGAGAAAUUCGGCGUUUGUGGCACGUAUAGAUGGAUCCGCGCCGGAUUAGCUAGUAGGUAAGGUAACGGGUUACCAAGGCAAGGCUGCGUAGCCGAGGUGAGAGGGUGAUCGGCCACCCUGGAGCUGGGACACGGUCCAGGGUACUGCGGGAGGCAGCAGUAGGGAAUCUUACGCAAUGGGCGAAAGCUUGACGGAGCAACGCCGCGUGAGUGAUGAAGGUCUUCGGAUCGUAAAACUCUGUUAUUAGGGAAGAACAAAUGUGUAAGUAACUAUGCACGUCUUGACGGUACCUAAUCAGAAAGCCACGGCUAACUACGUG
rnacentral:rRNA from 1 species